UACGUGUGUGUGCGUUUUCGCGUCCGUGUGCGUCCGUGUGUCCGUGGCGAUGGUGAUGGUGGUGGUGUGUGUACGUGAAACUAUGAACGUGUUUGUGUAUGUGUGUACGUACCUGUGUGAAUAAUUUGUGGCUCUACAGGUGAGAAAAUAGUGUUACCUGUAGAAAUCACCUCAAAAUCUACCUUUAUAUAAUUAAUUAGUGGCAGGACAGGUGAGAAAUUAGUGUUACCUGUAGAAAUCACCUUGAAAUCUACCUUUACAUAAUUAAUUAGUGUUUACAGGUGAGAAAAAGUGUUACCUGUAGAAAUCACCUUAAAAUCUACCUUUAUAUAAUUAAUUAGUGGCAGGACAGGUGAGGAAUAUUAAUUACCUCCAGAUUUACCUGAAAAAUUAACAAGUUCUACGUUUAAACAACAAUUUUACCUGUAAUUAACACAUAUAUAGGUAACCACGCACCUGUAAUUAGUGUGAGUCUACAGGUAAACUGCUGAACACACCUGUAAUGGAGAUGUGUACAAAUAUUGGUUCGUAUUUGUGGUUCACCUGUGUAAUUAAUGUGUGCAGGUGUAGUGAAGGUGCUCGCAGUGAAGGAAGGAAGGAAAUGAAAGAAGAAUGCAAGGAAAUGGUGACUGGAGAGGAAAGAUGAAAGGAAAAGUGAAAGAAGGAAAAGGAGAAUAAAGAUAAAUUGAGGAAA